UUGAUUUAGGAUUUGGUUUAGAAUCUAAGAUUUAAUCUAGGGUUUGAUUUAGGAUUUAGGAUUUGUCUAAGAUUUGAUUUAGGAUUUGAUUUAAGGUUUGGUUUAGGAUCCAAGAUUUCAUGUAAGAUUUGAUUUAGAAUUUAGGAUUUGUCUAAGGUUUGAUUUAGGGAUUGAUUUAGGAUUUAUAGUUUGUCUAAGGUUUGAUUUAGGGAUUGAUUUAGGAUCUAAGAUUUGAUCUAAGGCUUGGUUUAAGAUUUAGGAUUUUUUCAGGGUUUAAUUUAAUAUUUAGUUCAGGAUUUAAAUUUUGAUUUAGAAUUUAGAAUUUGUCUAGGAUUUGAUUUAGGAUUUGGUUUAGGAUCUAGGGUUUGAUCUAGGAUUUGAUCUAGGAUUUGAUUUAGGAUUUAGGGUUUGUUUAAGGUUUGUUUUAGGAUUUGGUUUAGGAUUCAAGAUUUGUCUAAGAUUUGAUUAAGGAUUUGGUUUAGGAUUUGAGAUUUGAUCUUAGAGUUGAUUUAGGGUUUAGAAUUUGUUUAGAAUUUGAUUGAAGUCUAUUAGGAUUUUAACUAGGAUUAAAUUAAAACUUGAUAGAAAUUUUUUUAAAUAUAUUUGUGAUUAUUUUAAUAUUUUUUAGGACUUCUUAAGGAUUCUUUUAAGAUUUAUUGUGGAUUUUCUUUCAAUUACUUUAAG
rnacentral:lncRNA from 1 species